rnacentral:rRNA from 1 species
UACGUAGGGGGCAAGCGUUGUCCGGAAUUAUUGGGCGUAAAGAGCUCGUAGGCGGCUUGUCGCGUCGGCUGUGAAAACCUGGGGCUCAACCCCGGGACUGCAGCCGAUACGGGCAAGCUAGAAUUCGGUAGGGGAGAGUGGAAUUCCUGGUGUAGCGGUGAAAUGCGCAGAUAUCAGGAGGAACACCGGUGGCGAAGGCGGGUCUCUGGGCCGAAAUUGACGCUGAGGAGCGAAAGCGUGGGGAGCAAACAGG